rnacentral:rRNA from 1 species
AUGAACGCUGACAGAAUGCUUAACCCAUGCAAGUCUACUUGAACUUCGGUUUGGGUGGCGGACGGGUGAGUAACGCGUAAAGAACUUGCCUCACAGAUAGGGACAACAUUUGGAAACGAAUGCUAAUACCUGAUAUUAUGAUUUUAGGGCAUCCUAGAAUUAUGAAAGCUAUAUGCACUGUGAGAGAGCUUUGCGUCCCAUUAGCUAGUUGGAGAGGUAACGGCUCACCAAGGCGAUGAUGGGUAGCCGGCCUGAGAGGGUGAUCGGCCACAAGGGGACUGAGACACGGCCCUUACUCCUACGGGAGGCAGCAGUGGGGAAUAUUGGACAAUGGACCAAGAGUCUGAUCCAGCAAUUCUGUGUGCACGAUGAAGUUUUUCGGAAUGUAAAGUGCUUUCAGUUGGGAAGAAAAAAAUGACGGUACCAACAGAAGAAGUGACGGCUAAAUACGUG